GAGAGGCUUAAAGCAAUAAGGACUGCUAAUCCCUACCUCCAUGGUUAA
rnacentral:tRNA from 1 species